GACGAACGCUGGCGGCGCGCCUAACACAUGCAAGUCGAACGAGCAAAGAGAAGCUUGCUUCUCUGAGCGAGUGGCGAACGGGUGAGUAACGCGUGAGGAACCUGCCUCAAAGAGGGGGACAACAGUUGGAAACGACUGCUAAUACCGCAUAAGCCCACGGGUCGGCAUCGACCAGAGGGAAAAGGAGUGAUCCGCUUUGAGAUGGCCUCGCGUCCGAUUAGCUAGUUGGUGAGGUAACGGCCCACCAAGGCGACGAUCGGUAGCCGGACUGAGAGGUUGAACGGCCACAUUGGGACUGAGACACGGCCCAGACUCCUACGGGAGGCAGCAGUGGGGAAUAUUGCACAAUGGGGGAAACCCUGAUGCAGCGACGCCGCGUGGAGGAAGAAGGGUCUUCGGAUUGUAAACUCCUGUUGUUGGGGAAGAUAAUGACGGUACCCAACAAGGAAGUGACGGCUAACUACGUG
rnacentral:rRNA from 1 species